rnacentral:miRNA from 1 species
AACAUUCAACCUGUCGAGCAAG